rnacentral:rRNA from 1 species
UACGUAGGGCGCAAGCGUUGUCCGGAAUUAUUGGGCGUAAAGAGCUCGUAGGCGGCUUGGCAAGUCGGGUGUGAAAACUCCAGGCUCAACCUGGAGACGCCACCCGAUACUGCCAUGGCUUGAGUCCGGUAGGGGACCACGGAAUUCCUGGUGUAGCGGUGAAAUGCGCAGAUAUCAGGAGGAACACCGGUGGCGAAGGCGGUGGUCUGGGCCGGUACUGACGCUGAGGAGCGAAAGCGUGGGGAGCGAACAGG